rnacentral:rRNA from 1 species
GUUACCGACAGAAUAAGCACCGGCUAACUCUGUGCCAGCAGCCGCGGUAAUUCCAGCUCCAAUAGUGUAUACUAAAGUUGCUGCAGUUAAAAAGCUCGUAGUUGGAAUUCGGUUAAUGAAUUGAUAGUCUAUAUUUUAUAUAUACGCACUGUUAAUUCAUUUCCUUUUUUUUAGGUUUAACCACUUUUAGUGAUUUUCCUAAAUAUUUUACUUUGAGAAAAUUAGAGUGUUCAAAGCAGGCGUAACUAAGCCUUUGAAUAUAUUAGCAUGGGAUAAUGAAAUAAGACUUUUUGCCUUAUUCUCGUUGGUUCAUAGGGCUAAAGUAAUGAUUAAUAGGGAUAGUUGGGGUCAUUAGUAUUUAAUUGUCAGAGGUGAAAUUCUAAGAUUUAUUAAAGACUAACUACUGCGAAAGCAUUUGACAAGGAUGUUUUCAUUAAUCAAGAACGAAAGUUGGGGGAUCGAAGAUGAUCAGAUACCGUCGUAGUCUCAACCAUAAACUAUGCCGACCAAGGAUUCGGGGGUGUUAAAUGAAUGACUCUCCGGGCACUUAUAGAGAAAUCAUAAGUAUUUGGGUUCCGGGGGGAGUAUGGUCGCAAGGCUGAAACUUAAAGGAAUUGACGGAAGGGCACCACCAGGAGUGGAACUUGCGGUUUAAUUUGACCCAACACGGGGAAACUUACCAGGUCCAGACACAGUAAGGAUUGACAGAUUGAGAGCUCUUUCUUGAUUUUGUGGGUGGUGGUGCAUGGCCGUUUCUAGUUGGUGGAGUGAUUUGUCUGGUUAAUUCCGUUAACGAACGAGACCUUAACCUAUUAAAUAGUAAUACGAACUUGUACUCUUUUGUACAAUUUGUUUGUAAAUGACUUCUUAGAGGGACUCUUCACAUACAGAGUGAAUGGAAGUUUGAGGCAAAAACAGGUCUGUGAUGCCCUUAGAUGUUCUGGGCCGCACGCGCGCUACACUGAUACGUUCAUCGAGCUUACAACCUUGACCGAGAGGUCUGGGUAAUCUUUUUAAAGCGUAUCGUGCUGGGGAUAGAUUAUUGUAAUUAUUAAUCUUCAACGAGGAAUUCCUAGUAAGCGCUAGUCAUCAACUCGCACUGAUUACGUCCCUGCCCUUUGUACACACCGCCCGUCGCUGCUACCGAUUGAAUGCAUUAGUGAGCCACAGGGAUUGUGGCACUUAACCGGGGCAACUCGGUUCUGUGUUGUGAGAACUGGUGCAAACUUGCGCAUUUAGAGGAAGCAAAAGUCGUAACGAGGU